GACAGAGGGUGCAAACGUUGUUCGGAAUUACUGGGCGUAAAGCGUGUGUAGGCGGUCCUGUAAGUCGGGUGUGAAAGCCCUGGGCUCAACCCAGGAAGUGCACUCGAAACUGCGGGGCUAGAGUACUGGAGAGGUUGGUGGAAUUCUCGGUGUAGAGGUGAAAUGCGUAGAUAUCGAGAGGAACACCUGCGGCGAAGGCGGGUUGCUGGGCAUUAACUGACGCUGAGGAGCGAAAGCAUGGGAGGCGAACGAG
rnacentral:rRNA from 1 species